CACUGUAUUGAGGUGUUAAGUUAUUGUAUUUGUUGUGCAAUUAACUGCAUUCUAAAAAAAUCAAACGAAAAAAAAAAUACCGCUCUCUCUAUAUUUCAAACCCAAGUGAUACAUUCAUUUAUCAAGUGGAUGCAUUCACCAGUAAAUCUUCAUGAUCCAAGAAUUAAAUUUUGAUAAUGAUUCUCCGUUCUCAUUUUAAAUAAAAGUUAUCAUUUGAACCUCUCUGUGUAUAUUAACCCAAC
rnacentral:lncRNA from 1 species